AAAAUUAGAGUGUUCAAAGCAGGCAGAUCCAAUUUUCUGCCACCGAAUACAUUAGCAUGGGAUAAUGGAAUAGGACCCUGUCCUCCUAUUUUCAGUUGGUUUUGGCAGCGCGAGGACUAGGGUAAUGAUUAAUAGGGAUAGUUGGGGGCAUUAAUAUUUAAUUGUCAGAGGUGAAAUUCUUGGAUUUAUGAAAGAUUAACUUCUGCGAAAGCAUCUGCCAAGGAUGUUUUCAUUAAUCAAGAACGAAAGUUAGGGGAUCGAAGACGAUCAGAUACCGUCGUAGUCUUAACCAUAAACGAUGCCGACCAGCGAUUAGGAGACGUUGAAUACAAAACACCACCAUCGGUUGCGGUCGUCCUUGGCGUCUCGGUUUCGGCCGGGGCGCGCGGGCGGCUUAGCCCGGUGGCACCGGUGAA
rnacentral:rRNA from 1 species